CACGUAGGGGGCAAGCGUUGUCCGGAUUUAUUGGGCGUAAAGGGCUCGUAGGCGGCCCACUAAGUCGGACGUGAAAUCCCUCGGCUUAACCGGGGAACUGCGUCCGAUACUGGCGGGCUUGAAUCCGGGAGAGGGAUGCGGAAUUCCAGGUGUAGCGGUGAAAUGCGUAGAUAUCUGGAGGAACACCGGUGGCGUAGGCGGCAUCCUGGACCGGCAUUGACGCUGAGGCGCGAAAGCCAGGGGAGCAAACGGG
rnacentral:rRNA from 1 species